rnacentral:rRNA from 1 species
AUGCAGGGGAUGGCCCUUGCAUUACAACAUUCUGCGCUACCGGUGGUGGUUCAAACGGAUUCCGCUCAAGCAUUGUCUAGCUUGACAAAUGAUGCACUCCUUCGCUCGGCCUAUGGACAGAUCAUCAUGGAGAUCAAGUCACGUUUAGAUAAUAGGGAGUUUUUUCCUCAAAAGAUUAGUAGACUUCAAAAUAGAGUUGCCGAUCGGUUAGCUAAGUAUAGCCGCACCGAGCGGGCCACGGCAGUUUGGCUUGGUUCAGUUCCACCAUGUAUCGAGGAUUUGUGGCCUCUCGACUGUAACUCUAUUCCUAUGCAAUAA